AUGAUCGUUUCAUGUUAACAACUUGGAGGAUACAUUGGUUGCUUCACGUUAGACCCGGAAAGAAGACCGCCGGUAAUGAUUAUGAAGCAGAGUCGCAUAGUAAUGGACCCGUGAACAGAUGUGAGGACGAGUAUUUCAAAAAAUCAAAGGUAAGUUUGAUUGUUAACACGGUACAUACAUACGAUAUUAUGUGAUGAUUGUGUUUUAUGGUCCUUGUGAUGCAGACUUAUAUUCCUCUAAACAAGCAAAAUAAUCACUGGAUUACUGUCGUCAUGCAUAGCGGAAAAAGAGAGUUUCAGAUUCUUGACUCGUUGAUGACCGGAAAACUUGACACUGUUACUAGAGAACUCGUUGAGGACCUGAGAAAACAACUAGCAGAAGAUAUCCAAGAAGCAAAUGCAACCGGAAUUGUGAAUUAUCCGGAUGUUUCCAAGUGGCCUAUUCAAACGUAUGACAUGCCAAAACAACAUGAUGGGUACGCAAGUCAUGUUUGGACUACGAUGUACAAUGAACGCUGUGCUAACACCAUUUUUUUUCAGACCUCAAUUGAUGAUUCAAGAGAGUUAAUGAUUGCGCAACUUAUAUUUUCGGAAAGAAACAAGCUUGAUGAAGUGAAAAACAAAGUUAUUCGGAUAUCAAAGAAGAAGAAAUAGAUGCGGCACGGAGG